UCUAAAUAAAGUGUUGAGAAUAAACUCGUUAAAUUUCAAGAAAAAGUCUAAAUAAAGUGGUGAGAAUAAACUCAUUAAAUUUUAAGAAAAAGUCUAAAUAAAGUGGUGAGAAUAAACUCAUUAAAUUUUAAGAGAAAAGUCUAAAUAAAGUGUUGAGAAUAAACUCGUUAAAUUUCAAGAAAAACUCUGAAUAAAGUGUUGAGAAUAAACUCGUUAAAUUUUAAGAGAAAAGUCUAAAUAAAGUGUUGAGAAUAAACUCGUUAAAUUUCAAGAAAAAAGUCAAAAUAAAGUGUUGAGAAUAAACUCGUUAAAUUUCAAGAAAAAAGUCAAAAUAAAGUGUUGAGAAUAAACUCGUUAAAUUUCAGGAAAAAAAUCUAAAUAAAGUGUUGAGAAUAAACUUGUUAAAUUUCAAGAAAAAAGUCAAAAUAAAGUGUUGAGAAUAAACUCGUUAAAUUUCAAGAGAAAGGUCUAAAUAAAGUGUUGAAAAUAAAC
ensembl:lncRNA